GACAGAGGCCUCGAGCGUUAGGCGGAAUCACUGGGCUUAAAGCGUGUGUAGGCGGGCCCGUAAGUGUCUUGUGAAAUCCCACGGCUCAACCGUGGAACUGCUCGGUAUACUGCGAAUCUUGGGCCAUCUAGGGGCUACCGGAACAAGUGGUGGAGCGGUGAAAUGCGUAGAUAUCACUUGGAACGCCAAUGGUGAAAACAGGUAGCUGGGGAUGUGCCGACGCUGAGACACGAAAGCCAGGGGAGCGAACGGG
rnacentral:rRNA from 1 species